rnacentral:rRNA from 1 species
GACAGAGGGUGCAAACGUUGCUCGGAAUCACUGGGCGUAAAGAGCGUGUAGGCGGUCCGGUAAGUCCGCUGUGAAAGUCGGGGGCUCAACCCUCGAAUGCCGGUGGAUACUGUCGGGCUAGAGUGCGGAAGAGGCGAGUGGAAUUCCUGGUGUAGCGGUGAAAUGCGCAGAUAUCAGGAGGAACACCAAUUGCGAAGGCAGCUCGCUGGGACGUUACUGACGCUGAGACGCGAAAGCGUGGGGAGCAAACAGG